rnacentral:rRNA from 1 species
GAUGAACGCUGGCGGCGUGCCUAAUACAUGCAAGUCGAGCGAACGGACGAGAAGCUUGCUUCUCUGAUGUUAGCGGCGGACGGGUGAGUAACACGUGGAUAACCUACCUAUAAGACUGGGAUAACUUCGGGAAACCGGAGCUAAUACCGGAUAAUAUUUUGAACCGCAUGGUUCAAAAGUGAAAGACGGUCUUGCUGUCACUUAUAGAUGGAUCCGCGCUGCAUUAGCUAGUUGGUAAGGUAACGGCUUACCAAGGCAACGAUGCAUAGCCGACCUGAGAGGGGUAUCGGCCCCACCGGGAACGAGAAACGGGCCCGACCCCCUAGGGGGGCCACAGGAGGGAAACUUCCCCAAGGGGCGAAAGCCUGGAGGGGCAAAGCCCGGGGAGUGAUGAAGGGUCUCGGGUCUUAAAAAUCUUUUAAUUGGGAAGAAAAAUUGUGUAAGUAACUUGGCACAACUUGACGGUACCUAAACAGAAAACCACGGCUAAAUUCGUG